GUCGUUAGAAGGCCAUGGCUGGAUUAACUAUCUGGACUUGGUUUACAUUUUAAAUUUUGAAUCACAUAAUACUUCUUAAUUUUAGCAAACUUUUAUCAGUAAAACUCAGUUGUUUUUGGUUUUGUUUUUGGUGUGUGUGUGUUAAGUAGAUCAGCUUUUAUAAAGUCAGCAAUUUUCAGAAGUAGCUAUUAAUCAAAGUACAAAGUCUUCAGGGUGUUUUAUGCAAUUUUUUUUCUACAGAAUGUGCAAGUUCUGUGAUUUGCUUUUUCAUUUGUGAGUUAUUUGGAUGCUUUGACCCCUUCAUCCUUUCUCUUGCAAUAUUUCAGCUGCCUCCAGACUCCCAAGACAUCCUCUCCAAAUGAACAGAGUGAUCUCCAAGGCUGCUUCUACAUGCUACGGCCCAGCGCUUGGAUUUCUCACUGAACAGGAUGUCCCAUGCUUCUGGAAUCUUCUGGGGUUUCUACUGCAACUUAAGCUUCACCUUCACAGCUUCACAAAACGUUCACUUAAGACUUCCAUGCAGGGAAUCCAGCCCUGCUACAUAGCCUGGUCUCAGGAGCAGUUUGGAACCUUGGUCCAAUGCACUGUUACUGCAAACAAGACAAAGGGAAGAAAGGAUAUUUGAAUGCUUUACCACAAAGCAAUGCCUGUGUUUCAGAUUGGCUUCUCCAGUGUGUUCUCUUCUUCCUGUGAACCCCGAGCCUGUCAUGUGCAAGAAGAUAGCAGGAAGACAGAGUCUCGUGUCUGCUUCACUAGUAUUUGUGGGUAUCGAGUUAGAGAUGAGCCGGCUUGGAGGAUGUUGAUACUGGAUCCCUGCCUCAUGAUGUUCAGCUUAUGACACCAAGGACUGGAGAUGUGGAACCCUAAUUACAGCUCAGAAGAAGGGGGUCCUCGUACUGUUUCCUGCCUUUGGACAAAAUAUGACAUCUUAGACUGUUUGAAAAGUUGUUCAUAGACAACUAUCUGGUUGUAUGAUGUAUGAAUUCUAAACCUCGUAAGUAGUGAUCAGGUGAGGUUUCAUGGUUAAAAAAAAAAAAUAAAGUAUACCAUUGCUUCCUCCAGAGAGAGCAAACAGGCCCCUCAAUUACCUGUAUAUGAAAAAUGACACGAGAAAAGCUUCUUCUUCCAGAGACUGAGGAAAUAGAAUAAAGUCAGCCUAAGUGUUGAUGGAACCAUAGUCCUUUGGGCCAUUGUCCAUUGUUCAUGACUUGCAAUAAACUCUUUUUUCUGCUUUUGCUUUACAUCAUUGGGACUUGAGCUUAGGGCCUUGCACAUGCUAGGUAAACAUUCUAAAGUGAACCACAUCCCUGGUAAAAAAAAAAAUCAGUUCAGUUUUCUGCAUCCCAUUCUUUGUGUUGCCAUUUAAUAUAUUUUUUAGUGGGAUCCCAGUGCCUGGAAAUGGCAGGCACGUGGUUGCAGAGACUUCUGAGCUCAUAUCCCUGUCCCUUACUAAUUUUAAAUCACUCUUUAAAGCUCUUCUUUAUAUAUUCCUAUUUAAAAGUCUGCAUUCCAUUCUUUAAAAAAUGUAUGUAUUAGUAUUUUUGCCUUCAUGUAUGUACAUACAUGCAUGCUUGGUGCCCAUAGAGGCCAGAAGAAGGCAUUGAAUUCCCAACUCAAAGAUAUGCUUGCCACUUCUUCAUGUUGUUGGCUCGGAUUAAAGGUGGGUACUACCACAUCUGGCUCCACCUUAGUUUUAAGGAAUACAAUAUCAUCAUGAAUUUUCAUCUCUUGUGUUAGAGAUAGCCUCAUGUAGAUAGUGAUAUUUUGAAUGAAUAUAAGUGUUUGUAAAGACACAUAGAAAAUAAAAUUAUACCUGUGUCUUUAGGAAGCUCCUUUUAUGUAAAUUAUGGAAGUUGGAAUGAUGCAAUAGUGUCGACAGUUUCUGUGUUUUAAAUGCUAAAUAUUCCUAUUUAUAAUUCCCUUGGCUCGUGCUCAACAAA